rnacentral:lncRNA from 1 species
UUCACCAAAAGAAAAAACCAUGAGGAAAGCAUGGAAUUUUGAAUAAUCACUUUAGGAACACAGAUCACCACUGACAUGUGGCCUAACAUAUCCAUCAGCCUCCAAGUGUUGAACCUUCUGGCACUGUACUAGGCUGCCAGUCAGAUUACAUUCCCACUACAGAUCAGAAAUUGGUGGCCAGGACUGCACUGGUGCUAUGCUCUGCUAUCUACAGUAAAAGCAAAGAAAACUAGGGAGGGGAGACUUUCCAGGCAUCUGUGGGGGUUUCAGUUACAGAGCACUUUCUAGCUGUACUGCAUUCAGAGCCUUCAACUGGCAUACAUUUAAUCACCAUAGUUCAACGAACAU